ensembl:scaRNA
CUGGAGGUAAUAGAAGGUGAGGCCAGUUGAGACCAUGUGGCCUUCACUGAUACCCACCUCCUAGAAUAACACAGCAGAGAGAACCACCCUGGUCUACAGACACACCACGGUUACUGCUGCUGCUCACAACA